AAUUCCCAGGCUAGGGGUUGAAUCAGAGCUGUAACAGCUGCCAGCCUACACCACAGCCACAGCAACACAGGAUAUAAGCCAUGUCUGCGAUCCAUACUACAGCUCAGGCAAUGUCGGAUCCUUAACCCACAGGGCGAGCCCAGGGGUUGAACCUGCAUCCUCAUGGAUACUAGUCAGGUUCAUUACCUCUGAGCCACAGCAGGAACUCCUAAAAAUGAUAUUAUUAUAGGAUUAACUAAAUAAAUACUUAUCUAAAAUGAGGAUUAGUAGCUUAUCUGAAAAGAUAAACACAUCACCCUGAUCAUUUCCUUGGCAUUGAACCCUUCUGUUCAGAAAUUGAGGGCUCUCAGACAGCAAAGCACUAAAUCAGAAUGCAUAAGCCUCUCAAGAUUGUAGUUUUUUCAUCUUUUUUCUGAUACCUAUUAUUUCUCUCUCUCUUGCCCUUUUGUCUAGAGGAAAGAACACUUGAAUUUUUAAAAUGUAAAACAGAUAAUUUCUUCCACUGUGUAUAUGAAGAAAAAUCCUAACCCUCUUUGAGCAUUGCCUUAUUUAGCUAGCCAUAUAAAAAUGAAACCUCAAAAGGCUCUGAUCUUUAUCUUCAAAGCUCAGUGUGAGUUAGAGAAAAGAUUUUAUAGUUUUUUGAACUCUAAAUUCAGAUCAGUAUGAACCAUCUGCUUCAUUUAGUAUCUUAUGAAAAAGAAGCUUCAGAUGUUUAUAACACAACAGAUUUUAGGGGGAAAAAACCAUGUCCUUGUGUUUAGAUAGGAGCAGAUCUUUGAACAUUUUAGCAUUUCUCAGAUGUGAAGUCUUCCUACCUCCAUUUCAUUCAGUAACACACCUCCGGUUCAGAAAAAUCUCAAAAUCAGCUGCUCAGUAUUUCUACCAUAGACUCUCACUAGAUGACUUCAAACUCACCAGCAUGGAGGGGCACUGCCCCAGGAUUAAGCAACAGUACUCCUGACUUCAUCAGACAGAGCCACCGAUUGACAUCCUCUGUCCCAGACCUAAAACCCCUUUCACCUUUCCCCCGCUGCUUUAUCUUCUCUCUCUCUCUCUCUCUUUUUUUUUUUCCUGCACCAGCCGCAUAUGGAAGUUCCCAGGGCAGGGGUUGGAUCCAAGCUGCAGCUGCAAUGCAUCAGCUGCAGAGACAAUGUGAGAUCCUCAAACUGCUGCACCACAGCGGCCACUCCUCCCCCAGUUUCUCUGAUGAUUAAAAAAAUAAUAAUUUUACCUGGAACUUUAUUUGACAGAUUAUUGAUAGUAGUGCUGGGUGGAGAAAAUGAGCUGCAGAUGUGUCUUGAUGAAAAGUCAGAUUUUCCCCUGAUCAUGGGUGGGAGAGAAAGUGGGGGUAACUGUGCUGUUUGUCAAGGAGAAGAGGGGAAGGGACUUCUCGGGGUGAAGGGCAGGGAAAGGAGGGGGAAAUUGAUCGAUCCUCCCUAUUGAUUAUGUCCCUCUUGCUAUAAUAAUAAUAAUAUAAUGUGGGGGAAACCACGCUGUUUGUCAAAUGAUUCAAUUAGGAGAAGAAUAUAUAAGGCUUUGCUAGAGGCAAGAGUUUCUUAGGACCAUAUACACUUUGGUUAAAAAAAAACUUUUUUAAAACAGCAAAAAAUAUAUACAUAUAUACUUACAUAUAUACUCUCUCUCUCUCUCUCUCUCUCUCUCUCUAUAUAUAUAUAUAUAUAUAUAUAUAUUCCUGAAAAAUUUGAGGAGCUACCUAUCAAUUUCCUCAAUGGCAACAAGACAAAUAUAAAAGCCCCAAUCGCUGCCAACCAGAUUUUAAGAGCAAAGGGUCUCUCUUAAAAUGUGGUAUUUGCUCUACAUAAUAGCAGCUUAGAAUAAACAAAAUACGAAAGGAGAGCUCACAUGUUAACUUCUGGCGGCCUUUCCCAAUGUUCGAACAGGAAAUGAGGUUAGAUAUUAACAUCUGACCUCCUCUCUCAGGCAAGCAGUGGGCCCUUAAGAUGGGCAUGGGAGGCGAAGCUGGCCUGCAGCCACACACUUGGGGGACAAAGGGUUCCAAAGCUGAAGUGUCCGUUGAAGUAGCCUUGAGAAGCCAAGUGUCGUUAGCAUCAGCUGGACCCGUUGCUUUAGGCUGUAAGAAACAGCCUAGAGAGAAGUGAUAGAGACUCUGUCUGGGAACUCUAAGAUCUGAGUUCAAAUCCUAGCUUUGUAACCUAACCAGCUGUGUGACCGGGGCAAGUAUUUAAUCUCUGUACCUCUGUUUUCAUAUCUUCAAAGUGAGAGAAGCAACGAACCUAUAGCUUUGUAAUAAGCCUUAACUACAAGCAUUUCUUAAGGAACUUAGCAUAUGGUAACAAGUAAUAGAGUCCCCUCCUGCAACAGAGUUAAACAUUUAAGAAGUGUGUGAGACCACACGUAACCAGAGGCCCAGAGGGAGAGUGCGCGUCACAGGUGACGGCGUGAGCAGCACGAUACGGUCAUCACCUCUGUUCUGCCACCCUCAGCAAUGACUUUCUCUUCUCGCUGGUGGCACCUGGGUACAGCAUCUCCAAGCAGCACAUCUAGAAAGAGGAUGUGUUUCUUUCUGUGGCUUUCUUUUAAGAGGGAAAGGUAACAUUUUGGAGAAAUUCUUCCUUGGACUUCCUCUGACAUCUCAUUGAGCAGAAUUGAUCUAUUGGCAAAGGAAGUGAAUGGGUUACUCUUGGGCCAAUCAAUUCCGCUUUUGAAGCUGGGGCUGGGAAGGAAGUGAAUGUCUACCUGGUGUUUGAAGUCCCUCCGAAAAUCAUGCGGCUGUGGAGGUUAGCGAUGGUAGAGAACAAGCACCAGAUCGCCAACAGCAGUGCCUACAGCUCGUGUGGACAGAGAGCAAGAACAGGCCACGGCGGUGAAAUAGGAUGGCACAAGAAGGUGAAAGAGGCAGAGCGAGGAGAGGCCAACUGAAGUCAUUUUGCCCUCUACAAGGGGGCUGUUUAAAGAGCAUGGGCAAAGCCUACAAGUGCAGAGAAAGCUGCAAAGGACACCAAAUGUCCCCCUAAUUCCUCAUUUGUUCUUU
rnacentral:lncRNA from 1 species